AUACGGAGGGAGCGAGCGUUAAUCGGAAUUACUGGGCGUAAAGCGCGCGUAGGCGGCUUUGUAAGUCGGAUGUGAAAGCCCUGGGCUCAACCUGGGAAUUGCAUUCGAUACUGCAUGGCUAGAGUAUGGUAGAGGGAAGUGGAAUUUCCGGUGUAGCGGUGAAAUGCGUAGAUAUCGGAAGGAACACCGGUGGCGAAGGCGACUUCCUGGGCCAAUACUGACGCUGAGGCGCGAAAGCGUGGGUAGCAAACAGGAUUAGAAACCCGGGUAGUCC
rnacentral:rRNA from 1 species